rnacentral:rRNA from 1 species
AGUGAACGCUGGCGGUAGGCCUAACACAUGCAAGUCGAACGGCAGCACAGUAAGAGCUUGCUCUUACGGGUGGCGAGUGGCGGACGGGUGAGGAAUACAUCGGAAUCUACUUUUUCGUGGGGGAUAACGUAGGGAAACUUACGCUAAUACCGCAUACGACCUACGGGUGAAAGCAGGGGAUCUUCGGACCUUGCGCGAUUGAAUGAGCCGAUGUCGGAUUAGCUAGUUGGCGGGGUAAAGGCCCACCAAGGCGACGAUCCGUAGCUGGUCUGAGAGGAUGAUCAGCCACACUGUAACUGAGACACGGUCCAGACUCCUACGGGAGGCAGCAGUGGGGAAUAUUGGACGAUGGGCGCAAGCCUGAUCCAGCCAUACCGCGUGGGUGAAGAAGGCCUUCGGGUUGUAAAGCCCUUUUGUUGGGAAAGAAAAGCAGCAGGUUAAUACCCCGCUGUUCUGACGGUACCCAAAGAAUAAGCACCGGCUAACUUCGUG